rnacentral:lncRNA from 1 species
UGGCAUUCUUCUCCUUUUGUAGUGCAACGCCAGAUUGAUAGUUCCGGAAUCACGGCGGUGCUUUCUGGAGGUCUUGCCAGAGUGUUGGCUACCUUUGGAAUAGACUGAACGAGGCUCACACGAGGUCUUUGCCAAAGACAGAAAGGCAUCCAUCGACUGGCCCUCAGCCCUGCCGUCCAGCUUUAGAUUUAAAUGCACAUUGACAGGAGACUUGCGGAAACCAUUGAGCAGGCAGUGGAUGGCAUCCACAGCAGCUCAGCUGACAUGUUCUGAGCACCUACCUUCUGCAGCCAUGGCCAUCAAUUGGUUUGUAAGUCUGUAAAGGACCG